rnacentral:rRNA from 1 species
UGGGGAAUAUUGGACAAUGGGCGAAAGCCUGAUCCAGCCAUGCCGCGUGUGUGAAGAAGGUCUUCGGAUUGUAAAGCACUUUAAGUUGGGAGGAAGGGUUGUAGAUUAAUACUCUGCAAUUUUGACGUUACCGACAGAAUAAGCACCGGCUAACUCUGUGCCAGCAGCCGCGGUAAUACAGAGGGUGCAAGCGUUAAUCGGAAUUACUGGGCGUAAAGCGCGCGUAGGUGGUUUGUUAAGUUGGAUGUGAAAUCCCCGGGCUCAACCUGGGAACUGCAUCCAAAACUGGCAAGCUAGAGUAGGGCAGAGGGUGGUGGAAUUUCCUGUGUAGCGGUGAAAUGCGUAGAUAUAGGAAGGAACACCAGUGGCGAAGGCGACCACCUGGGCUCAUACUGACACUGAGGUGCGAAAGCGUGGGGAGCAAACA